UGCAGUCGAACGGUGAAGCCAAGCUUGCUUGGUGGAUCAGUGGCGAACGGGUGAGUAACACGUGAGCAACCUGCCCUGGACUCUGGGAUAAGCGCUGGAAACGGCGUCUAAUACUGGAUAUGAGACGUGAUCGCAUGGUCGUGUUUGGAAAGAUUUUUCGGUCUGGGAUGGGCUCGCGGCCUAUCAGCUUGUUGGUGAGGUAAUGGCUCACCAAGGCGUCGACGGGUAGCCGGCCUGAGAGGGUGACCGGCCACACUGGGACUGAGACACGGCCCCAGACUCCUACGGGAGGCAGCAGUGGGGAAUAUUGCACAAUGGGCGGAAGCCUGAUGCAGCAACGCCGCGUGAGGGAUGACGGCCUUCGGGUUGUAAACCUCUUUUAGCAGGGAAGAAGCGAAAGUGACGGUACCUGCAGAAAAAGCGCCGGCUAACUACGUGCCAGCAGCCGCGGUAAUACGUAGGGCGCAAGCGUUAUCCGGAAUUAUUGGGCGUAAAGAGCUCGUAGGCGGUUUGUCGCGUCUGCUGUGAAAUCCCGAGGCUCAACCUCGGGCCUGCAGUGGGUACGGGCAGACUAGAGUGCGGUAGGGGAGAUUGGAAUUCCUGGUGUAGCGGUGGAAUGCGCAGAUAUCAGGAGGAACACCGAUGGCGAAGGCAGAUCUCUGGGCCGUAACUGACGCUGAGGAGCGAAAGGGUGGGGAGCAAACAGGCUUAGAUACCCUGGUAGUCCACCCCGUAAACGUUGGGAACUAGUUGUGGGGACCAUUCCACGGUUUCCGUGACGCAGCUAACGCAUUAAGUUCCCCGCCUGGGGAGUACGGCCGCAAGGCUAAAACUCAAAGGAAUUGACGGGGACCCGCACAAGCGGCGGAGCAUGCGGAUUAAUUCGAUGCAACGCGAAGAACCUUACCAAGGCUUGACAUAUACGAGAACGGGCCAGAAAUGGUCAACUCUUUGGACACUCGUAAACAGGUGGUGCAUGGUUGUCGUCAGCUCGUGUCGUGAGAUGUUGGGUUAAGUCCCGCAACGAGCGCAACCCUCGUUCUAUGUUGCCAGCACGUAAUGGUGGGAACUCAUGGGAUACUGCCGGGGUCAACUCGGAGGAAGGUGGGGAUGACGUCAAAUCAUCAUGCCCCUUAUGUCUUGGGCUUCACGCAUGCUACAAUGGCCGGUACAAAGGGCUGCAAUACCGUGAGGUGGAGCGAAUCCCAAAAAGCCGGUCCCAGUUCGGAUUGAGGUCUGCAACUCGACCUCAUGAAGUCGGAGUCGCUAGUAAUCGCAGAUCAGCAACGCUGCGGUGAAUACGUUCCCGGGUCUUGUACACACCGCCCGUCAAGUCAUGAAAGUCGGUAACACCUGAAGCCGGUGGCCCAACCCUUGUGGAGGAGCCGUCGAAGGUGAUC
rnacentral:rRNA from 1 species